UACGUAGGGUGCGAGCGUUGUCCGGAAUUAUUGGGCGUAAAGAGCUCGUAGGCGGCCUGUCGCGUCGGAUGUGAAAGCCCGGGGCUUAACCCCGGGUCUGCAUUCGAUACGGGCAGGCUAGAGUGUGGUAGGGGAGAUCGGAAUUCCUGGUGUAGCGGUGAAAUGCGUAGAUAUCGUUUGGAACGCCAAUGGUGAAAACAGGUCGCUGGGGAUGAGCUGACGCUGAGACACGAAAGCCAGGGGAGCAAACGGG
rnacentral:rRNA from 1 species